CUAGCUACAGGCUUAACACAUGCAAGUCGAGGGGCAGCAUGGUCUUAGCUUGCUAAGGCCGAUGGCGACCGGCGCACGGGUGAGUAACACGUAUCCAACCUGCCGUCUACUCUUGGACAGCCUUCUGAAAGGAAGAUUAAUACAAGAUGGCAUCAUGAGUCCGCAUGUUCACAUGAUUAAAGGUAUUCCGGUAGACGAUGGGGAUGCGUUCCAUUAGAUAGUAGGCGGGGUAACGGCCCACCUAGUCUUCGAUGGAUAGGGGUUCUGAGAGGAAGGUCCCCCACAUUGGAACUGAGACACGGUCCAAACUCCUACGGGAGGCAGCAGUGAGGAAUAUUGGUCAAUGGGCGAGAGCCUGAACCAGCCAAGUAGCGUGAAGGAUGACUGCCCUAUGGGUUGUAAACUUCUUUUAUAAAGGAAUAAAGUCGGGUAUGCAUACCCGUUUGCAUGUACUUUAUGAAUAAGGAUCGGCUAACUCCGUGCCAGCAGCCGCGGUAAUACGGAGGAUCCGAGCGUUAUCCGGAUUUAUUGGGUUUAAAGGGAGCGUAGAUGGAUGUUUAAGUCAGUUGUGAAAGUUUGCGGCUCAACCGUAAAAUUGCAGUUGAUACUGGAUAUCUUGAGUGCAGUUGAGGCAGGCGGAAUUCGUGGUGUAGCGGUGAAAUGCUUAGAUAUCACGAAGAACUCCGAUUGCGAAGGCAGCCUGCUAAGCUGCAACUGACAUUGAGGCUCGAAAGUGUGGGUAUCAAACAGGAUUAGAUACCCUGGUAGUCCACACGGUAAACGAUGAAUACUCGCUGUUUGCGAUAUACAGCAAGCGGCCAAGCGAAAGCGUUAAGUAUUCCACCUGGGGAGUACGCCGGCAACGGUGAAACUCAAAGGAAUUGACGGGGGCCCGCACAAGCGGAGGAACAUGUGGUUUAAUUCGAUGAUACGCGAGGAACCUUACCCGGGCUUAAAUUGCAGAUGAAUUACGGUGAAAGCCGUAAGCCGCAAGGCAUCUGUGAAGGUGCUGCAUGGUUGUCGUCAGCUCGUGCCGUGAGGUGUCGGCUUAAGUGCCAUAACGAGCGCAACCCUUGUUGUCAGUUACUAACAGGUCAUGCUGAGGACUCUGACAAGACUGCCAUCGUAAGAUGUGAGGAAGGUGGGGAUGACGUCAAAUCAGCACGGCCCUUACGUCCGGGGCUACACACGUGUUACAAUGGGGGGUACAGAGGGCCGCUACCACGCGAGUGGAUGCCAAUCCCCAAAACCUCUCUCAGUUCGGACUGGAGUCUGCAACCCGACUCCACGAAGCUGGAUUCGCUAGUAAUCGCGCAUCAGCCACGGCGCGGUGAAUACGUUCCCGGGCCUUGUACACACCGCCCGUCAAGCCAUGGGAGCCGGGGGUACCUGAAGUGCGUAACCGCGAGGAGCGCCCUAGGGUAAAACUGGUGACUGGGGCUA
rnacentral:rRNA from 1 species